rnacentral:rRNA from 1 species
GUGCACCAGGCGCGAAAACUUCACACUGUGCGAAAGCACGAUGAGGGAAUCCCAAGUGCUUGCACGUAAGUGUAAGCUGUUUCUCUGUUUAAAACGCAGAGAGAGUAAGGGCUGGGUAAGACGGGUGCCAGCCGCCGCGGUAAUACCUGCAGCUCAAGUGGUGACCGUUAUUAUUGGGCCUAAAACGUCCGUAGCCGGUUUAAUAAAUGCCUGGGUAAAUCGUGUAGCUUAACUAUACGAAUUCCGGGUAGACUGUUAAACUCGAGACCGGGAGAAGUUAGAGGUACUCCUGGGGUAGAGGUGAAAUUCUGCAAUCCUAGGGGGACCACCAGUGGCGAAGGCGUCUAACUAGAACGGGGUCUGACGGUAGUAGGGACGGGAACGACCGUCCGGGGUCGGGGCCGAAACCGGGAAACGGGUUAAGUAAGUAACCCGUACCCGGUACGGUUACCCG